CCCGGGCUUGGAAAUGCUUGUCCAUCGGGCCGUGUCUACCACCCGACGUUGGACAAGUCGAGUCUACAUUUCCUCCUCAUUUUCCCGGCUGUUAGAUUCUUUGACGAGCCAGAUCUGCACUCAACGGUCAAAAUUAGGGUUAGGGUAAAGUUUUCUUUUUAGCUGAAAUUGGGUUUGAUGCGAUUUGGAAAUUUGAAGAAUUGAUUGGCAGAGAAAAGCUCUGGAUUUGUAUAUUAACUUUUAUGGUGUGUAGUGUAUAGAUAUAGGUACAUAGAUAAGAUGGAUGGGAUACAUAGGAACAAUGGCAGCAUGCAUAUGGCUAGUGAUGCACAACACCCAAUGCAUCAUCAUGUACACUAUGAACAUCAUCAUCAUCAUAUCAUGAAUGGGGAUGCGAUGGUUGACGGUGAUGAUCAUCAUGAUCCUCAUCAUCAUCACCAUCGUGAUGUCGAUGACAGUGUUGAUGGUGAAGUAGCUGAGGGAGUAGAAGCAGGGGAUCUGCCCUCGGAUCACCCCGGGGCUCUUUCCGGUAACCAGGGCCCCGAUAAUGGCAACCAGCUUACUCUGUCUUUUCAGGGUCAAGUCUACGUCUACGACUCCGUGCCACCCGAAAAGGUUCAAGCUGUGCUUUUAUUAUUGGGCGGGUGUGAAGUACCACCAACCAUGCCUUCUAUCCCUAUAACUACUCAGAAUAAUAGGGGAUUGCCUGGUACUCCACAACGGUUUAGUGUCCCACAGAGAUUGGCCUCACUGCUUAGAUUCCGUGAAAAGCGCAAAGAGCGGAAUUUUGACAAGAAAAUUCGUUACACUGUCCGUAAAGAGGUAGCACUAAGGAUGCAACGAAAUAAAGGUCAAUUCACAUCUUUAAAGCCCAAUGCUGAUGAUUCUGCAUCAGCUGCCUCAAGCUGGGGCCCAAACCAGAGCUGGGUUGCAGAUGGUAAUGGAUCACAAAAUCAAGAGAUUGUUUGUCGACAUUGUGGCAUCAGUGAGAAAUCUACACCAAUGAUGCGACGUGGACCUGAAGGGCCUAGGACACUUUGCAAUGCUUGUGGACUUAUGUGGGCAAACAAGGGAACUCUAAAGGACCUCUCUAAGGCAGCACCUCAAACUGGUCAAAGUUCUUCCUUAAGCAAGGAUGGGGAGAAGCUUUUGCAUACAACCUGUUCUGAGCUACAAAAUAUCUGAAUGAAGCUGAGCUUGUGGAAAGGAUCUGAUCUGACCAGUAUGAAUCAGAACACUUUUGGCCUUGAUUCAUUUGAAUAUUCAUGAUAGCUUUGUCCAUUUAACGGAGUGUAUUUGGAAUGUUGACGUUGAUGGCUCCUUCCUUCUAGAAUGAUAAGGAAUUUAAUCGAUGUAGUGUUGGCGAAUUGAAUGGAGGCUGGAGUUCGGUUUGACUUGAAAAUUCAAGGUUCCAGCUUAAAUUUUUGUGGUUUCCAACUAGUUUGCCCAGUGACUGCGAAGGAGCCAACGUACAUUUCAUCAAGCAUGACAUGAGAGAGGUCAAGAGAAGCAUCGAUCAGUGGUUUUUUGGGCAUUUUCAUGUUUACAGGAGCCAUUGUCACCCUCAGCUGAGAUCCUUACUCUAUACUUUGCUCCAUUUUUCAUCUCUGACCCCUGGAAUGACCAAUUAUAACUAGUGUUGAGAUUUUUGUCUCUAUCAGUCCAAUAUCCAGCCUUGUCAGAUACCAGAGAAAUGAGAGAAUUUAUGUCAACACCUACAUGAUGGUGGUCGUUGGUAUCAUUGAAUACUUGAUUCUGGAAAACAUCAAGUUCAUUAUAUACCAAAAACAUGGUUGUUGGGAUUUGCAUUGUAAGCACCUUGAAGGCAAACAGAUGAAGACUAAGCCAUGUUCAGUGAACUUGUUCACUUGACAAGAACCCGCAUGUUAGCCUCUUGUAUCCCUGUAUUUUAACAUAUGACAUCAAUUGCUUACUUCACGAAAUAAGAAACUUAUCAUGCACUAGUCUUUGCAGCAACAUUGAUGUCUGGUCUCAACAUUGCGUCCAUCAAGAACUACACUUAAGAAUAAGGAUAUCUUAAUUAUAACCCUGUAUAUCUCUUGCAAGGCAUUUUCAUUCUUUGGGCUCCAUCUCAUUGCUACUCAAAUAACUCUUUAUAUUCUCGUACUAAUGAUGAGAAAAGUCUUUUAUCACUUAUAGACAAUUAAUUAAUUUGAGUAAGUAACAACGUAUCUCUGACUAUUUUUAUUGGCUCUAGAACAUACACUGACAAAAAGUUGUAGACUUUUUUU